UCUACAUUUUUAGUAUGAAAGGUGACUUUAAAUUGUAUAUAAAGGAAACUAAUGUUUUCUUGUUACAUUCAGAUUUGGUUUAGCUUUUCAAACCAUUUAUCAUGAGACUGAAACCGACUAUUUUUAUUUUACUAAUGUUUGUCUUACUUCUAACAAGCGAAGCCGGAACCAAUCGAUGCCGAAAUCCUAAAAGUCCACAUGAUUUCAUAGGAAGUUGUUAUUCAAAAUCACAUAUUGGAUGUGCCAAUCCAAUAAAGCAUCCAUCACUUACAUUUGACUCCUUUGACUGUAAAGAGGAGGAAAACUGUUGCGUUUUUGUAAAUUAAAGAUAUUAUGUAAAGGAAAUUAAAAUAUUGAAUUUUCCAUUAUUGCAUAUUCCGUAUUAGUAACCUAUUAGGAAAAAUUAUAUAACCAAAGAAACCUGAAUAAUUGAAUUUAACUUUAAUAUGAUAUAACUAAUAUUGAUAAUUCAAAUUAGUUCUACAACCUAAAAAUGUAUAAUAAGUGACCUAAAAAUAUACAUAAAAGAAACAAAA